UACAGAGGUCUCAAGCGUUGUUCGGAUUCAUUGGGCGUAAAGGGCGCGUAGGCGGCUUCGCAAGUCCGGGGUGAAAGCCCCCAGCUCAACUGGGGAAGUGCCUCGGAUACUGCGGAGCUCGAGCGAGGUAGGGGUCGUGGGAACUUCCGGUGGAGCGGUGAAAUGCGUUGAUAUCGGAAGGAACGCCGGUGGCGAAAGCGCACGACUGGACCUCUCCUGACGCUGAGGCGCGAAAGCCAGGGGAGCAAACGGG
rnacentral:rRNA from 1 species